CUUUCCUCUUUCUACUCACAGAGACUCAACACUGCAGAUAUGAAGCCUCUGUUCAUCUCACUGCUGCUGGCUGCUCUGUGUCCUGAAGGCAGAGCACAAGACAUGGUGCAGCAACCAGGAGGAGACGUGACUGCGACUGGAGGAGAAGCAGCAACACUUGGUUGUCGAUACGUCAGCAGCGCAGCAAGUGUGUCUCUCCUCUGGUACAAACAGGAAGGAACCAACAACCCAACAUUCAUCCUGAGCCGCUUUCAAGUGGGAGAAGGAAACACAGCAGACGACUUCAGAGAGAGAUUUUCAUCCACACUGAAUUCCACCUCGAGAACAUCUCCUCUGAAGAUCCAGAAGCUGCAGCCGUCUGACUCUGCUGUGUACUACUGUGCUCUGAGGCCCACAGUGACAGGAAACUACACAACUCUGUACAAAAACCUGUGGAGCAAACACACAACUCCUCAUCCUCCACUAGAGGGAGUCACUCACUGUUAA